rnacentral:rRNA from 1 species
AGACUUCGGUGGAUUUGAUUUGAUUCUAGUGGCGGACGGGUGAGUAACGCGUGGGUAACCUGCCUUAUACAGGGGGAUAACAGUCAGAAAUGACUGCUAAUACCGCAUAAGCGCACAGAGCUGCAUGGCUCAGUGUGAAAAACUCCGGUGGUAUAAGAUGGACCCGCGUUGGAUUAGCUAGUUGGUGGGGUAACGGCCCACCAAGGCGACGAUCCAUAGCCGGCCUGAGAGGGUGAACGGCCACAUUGGGACUGAGACACGGCCCAGACUCCUACGGGAGGCAGCAGUGGGGAAUAUUGCACAAUGGGGGAAACCCUGAUGCAGCGACGCCGCGUGAAGGGAGAAGUAUCUCGGUAUGUAAACUUCUAUCAGCAGGGAAGAUAGUGACGGUACCUGACUAAGAAGCCCCGGCUAACUACGUGCCAGCAGCCGCGGUAAUACGUAGGGGGCAAGCGUUAUCCGGAUUUACUGGGUGUAAAGGGAGCGUAGACGGUGUGGCAAGUCUGAUGUGAAAGGCAUGGGCUCAACCUGUGGACUGCAUUGGAAACUGCCAUACUUGAGUGCCGGAGGGGUAAGCGGAAUUCCUAGUGUAGCGGUGAAAUGCGUAGAUAUUAGGAGGAACACCAGUGGCGAAGGCGGCU